rnacentral:lncRNA from 1 species
UGCCAUUCAUUUAUUCAUCCCUCAAAUAUUUAUUGAGCUUCUACUAAAUACCAAGCAAUGCUAAAGGCACUGAAGAUAUAGCAAUAAGCCAAGCCAAGUUUCUCUCUCAAGUAGUGUCAUUUUAUUGUGGUUACAGUUGACAGGUAAUAAAACAAAGAUAGGUGUGCCUGUGUAUGUGUACGUAUUUAUUUUAUACAGGGUGAUUGAAGGACUCCUACAAUGAUAUCAGAGCAAAAAUCUGAAAUAAGUGAAGGAAAAAUCAUGCAACUCCAGGAAAAAAAUAUUGUCUUUAAAUAUUCCAAGUUCUUAAAUCUGGGGAGGAAAGCCAACACCCUUUUGGAGCCAUGAAUACUGCCCAGACUCCAUCAGCUACUCCGUUUGGAAUUUCAGCAGUUUCACAGACACGGACUCCUGCAGGCAAUGCUGCAGCAUCCUAGGUUGAUUCAUUCACUUAAUGAUCCAAAAAAUAUGAGAUGAUUUC